GGGGUUGUGGCUCAGUGGUAGAGCACUUGCCUAACAUGUGUGAGGCACUGGGUUCGAUUCUCAGCACCA
rnacentral:tRNA from 1 species